rnacentral:rRNA from 1 species
AUGGCCCCCAAGGCAGCCGAGAAGAAGCCGGUGGAGAAGACCCCCGCGGGCAAGAAGCCCAAGGCGGAGAAGAAGGUGCCGGCGUCCAAGGAGGGCGGCGACAAGAAGGGGAAGAAGAAGGCCAAGAAGAGCGUGGAGACCUACAAGAUCUACAUCUUCAAGGUGCUCAAGCAGGUGCACCCGGACAUCGGCAUCUCCUCCAAGGCCAUGUCCAUCAUGAACUCCUUCAUCAACGACAUCUUCGAGAAGCUCGCCGGCGAGUCCGCCAAGCUCGCGCGGUACAACAAGAAGCCCACCAUCACGUCCCGGGAGAUUCAGACCUCCGUCCGCCUCGUCCUCCCCGGCGAGCUCGCCAAGCACGCCGUCUCCGAGGGCACCAAGGCCGUCACCAAGUUCACCUCGGCCUAG